rnacentral:rRNA from 1 species
GAUGAACGCUGGCGGCGUGCCUAAUACAUGCAAGUCGAGCGAACAGACGAGGAGCUUGCUCCUUUGACGUUAGCGGCGGACGGGUGAGUAACACGUGGGUAACCUACCUAUAAGACUGGGAUAACUUCGGGAAACCGGAGCUAAUACCGGAUAAUAUUUCGAACCGCAUGGUUCGAUGGUGAAAGAUGGCUUUGCUAUCACUUAUAGAUGGACCUGCGCCGUAUGAGCUAGUUGGGAAGGUAACGGCUUACCAAGGCAACGAUACGUAGCCGACCUGAGAGGGUGGUCGGCCACACUGGAGCUGGGACACGGUCCAGACUACUACGGGAGGCAGCAGUCGGGAAUCUUCCGCAAUGGGCGAAAGCCUGACGGAGCAAGGCCGCGUGAGUGAUGAAGGUCUUCGGAUCGUAAAACUCUGUUAUUAGUGAAGAACAAACGUGUAAGGAACUGUGCACGGCUUGACGGUACCUAAUCAGAAAGCCACGGCUAACUACGUG